rnacentral:rRNA from 1 species
CAGCCGCCGCGGUAAAACGUAGGGUGCAAGCGUUAAUCGGAAUUACUGGGCGUAAAGCGUGCGCAGGCGGUUUGUUAAGACAGAUGUGAAAUCCCCGGGCUCAACCUGGGAACUGCAUUUGUGACUGGCAAGCUAGAGUGUGGCAGAGGGGGGUGGAAUUCCGCGUGUAGCAGUGAAAUGCGUAGAUAUGCGGAGGAACACCGAUGGCGAAGGCAGCCCCCUGGGCCAACACUGACGCUCAUGCACGAAAGCGUGGGGAGCAAACAGGAUUAGAUACCCCUGUAGUCCCUGUCUCUUAUAC